ACAGCAGCAGCCGCGGGAAUACGAAGGGGGCUAGCGUUGUUCGGAAUUACUGGGCGUAAAGCGCACGUAGGCGGACAUUUAAGUCAGGGGUGAAAUCCCGGGGCUCAACCCCGGAACUGCCUUUGAUACUGGGUGUCUAGAGUAUGGAAGAGGUGAGUGGAAUUCCGAGUGUAGAGGUGAAAUUCGUAGAUAUUCGGAGGAACACCAGUGGCGAAGGCGGCUCACUGGUCCAUUACUGACGCUGAGGUGCGAAAGCGUGGGGAGCAAACAGGAUUAGAUACCCCAGUAGUCCCUGUCUCUUAUAC
rnacentral:rRNA from 1 species